GACGUAGGGAGCAAGCGUUGACCGGAAUUACUGGGCGUAAAGAGCUCGUAGGCGGGAGCGUGCGUCUGAAAGGAAAUCUCAGGGCUCAACUCUGGGGCUUUUUCAGAUACGGAGCUUCUUGAGUGUAACAGAGGAAAGCAGAAUUCCCGGUGUAGCGGUGAAAUGCGUAGAUAUCGGGAGGAAUACCAGUGGCGAAGGCGGCUUUCUGGGUUACCACUGACGCUGAGGAGCGAAAGCGUGGGGAGCGAACGGG
rnacentral:rRNA from 1 species